UAAAUUUUGGGUAUAUGAAUGAUCAUUCUAGUCAUCUUCCAAGAUUAAAUUAUGGGUGCAAAAUUGAGUGUCCACAAAAUGCCCUUCAGUGACAGAGCUUGCAAAGCAAAUGUCAAUGUAAAAUAAGGAAACUGAUUUUAGCAACCUUGACUUAAUUAAGGUUGACUUUUCAAAGAUUACCUAACACUAGAACCUAAAACCUUGGGACAUAGAACUAAUGUUUUGUUGUUUUGAAAAAUGAGAAUUGUGAAUACUUGAUCUACUUGAUAAUUGAUAAACCUGACUUAAAUCUUGAAAUCUGAGGUGACUAGGAGGCUUCCUUACCUCAGUCUGAAUCUAGGGUGACCAAGAGGCUUCUCUAUCUUGAUAUGAAUCUGAGGUGAUCGAGAGGCUUCUCUAUCUGUUUGAAUCUGGGGCGAUUGAAAGGCUUCUCUAUCCUGAUCUGAAUCUAGGACAACCAAGAGGCUUCUCUAUCUUGAUCUAAAUCUGAGGUGACAAAGAGGUUUCUCUAUCUUGGUUUUGAAUCUAGGGCGAUUGAGAGGCUUCUUUAUCUCAAUCUGAAUUUGGGGCGACCAAGAGGCUUCUCUAUCUUGAUCUGAAUCUGAGGUGACCGAGAGGCUUCUCUAUCUCGAUUUGAAUUCAGGGUGAUUGAAAGGCUUCUCUAUCUCAAUCUAAAUCUGAGGUAACCGAGAGGCUUCUCUAUCUCAAUUUGAGUCUGGGCGACCAAAAGGCUUUUCUAUCUUGAUAUGAAGUUGAGGUGACCGAGAGGCUUCUCUAUCUCAGUUUGAAUUUGGGGCGACCAAGAGGCUUCUCUAUCUUAAUCUAAAUUUGAGGUAGCCGAGAGGCUUCUCUAUCAUGAUUUGAAUCUAGGGCGACCAAGAGGCUUCUUUAUCUAGAUCUGAAUCUAGGGUGACUGAGAGGCUUCUCUAUCUCGGUUUUAAUCUAGGGCGACCAAGAGGCUUCUCUAUCUUGAUCUGAAUUUGAGGUGACUGAGAGGCUUCUCGAUCUCGAUUUGAAUCUGGGGCGAUUGAGAGGCUUCUCUAUCUCAAUCCGAAUCUAAAUUUGAGGUGACCAAGAGGCUUUUCUAUCUUGGUUUGAAUUUGGGGCAACCAAGAGGCUUCUCUAUCUUGAUCUAAAUCUAGGGUGACCGAAAGGCUUCUCUAUCUCGAACCUCAAGAGUCGAGGUAGUCUCUAGAUGUUGAAGAGCAGGUGGGAGGUAUUGUUUGCAGACAUUAAAAAUGUCAUUAAUGAAGUUGGUUUUCAAACCUUUUUACGAGCUCUGUUGGACCAUGAUACCAAUGAGUAUAAGAAUCUCCAACUGCUUCUUGCCUUGUUAGAGCGAUUCUGGGAUACUACUUGCACUUUCCAUUUUUCGGGUAUUGGUGAGGUGAUGCUGACACCCUAUGACUUCUUAGCCAUUACUAGUUAAAAUUGGGUGGUAAAGAAUUAAAGUUAAUGAUUCCAUCACCUUAGUGGAAAUUAGAGGUCUUCUGGGUGUGAUGCCUCCAAAAAUCAGGAGUAAGAAUGUACCCUUGAUGUGGCUAUACUCCAAUAUUGAUAAUUGUAAGACUAUAGCAACUAACACUCGCAUGUUCAUGCUUCUCUUCAUUGGAACUCUCUUAUGUCCAGACUUGGGGAGCACUGUGAGUUUGUGCUAUUUAUGGAGUCUGAGUAAUAUUGGUCAGAUCAAAAAUUAUGUUUGGGGUGGCAUGGCUUAUGCAACCUUUUUGCACUUCAUAACUCAGCUUUCUCAGCGCAGAAUUUCAAGCUUAGGAGGUGCGCCUUUUGUUUGGCAGGUGAGGUUUUGAAUUCUUGGUCGGACGUAUUUUGAAAAAGGUUAUUUGCAUUGUUGUGCUAUUGAUGAUGUGUGUUGAUUGAUAACUUGACUGCCGAUGAUGUGAGUUUAUUUAUUUAUUAAUUUUUAGGGGUUUUGUGUUCUUUCCCUCUUUUUUUUUUUUGUUGUCGUGUGGUUUGGCUUCUUUUCAUUAUGGGUUCUUUGUGAUUUUCAGAUGUCUUGAAUCCUUGGCUUGGAUGUGAGGAGCAUGCCGAGUGUGCAUGGGCUCAAGAGCUGAACGACCAUCAAGUGUUGUUUAAGUGUGGCCAUGGGAGAUAUUGGUAUAUUGGCGACCAGGUACUGGCUCAAGUUCAACACGUGUACCCUCCUAAGACAAUUCCUAUUCAUCCUUGUCCCUUCAUCUAGUUGGCAGACCUUUUGGCUAAUGAGGAAAUUGCUUGUGCUCGAGUCGGCCAUGAUGUUUCGGGGACAUCAGGAGACUAUUUUGAAUUCGUCCAAACUUAAUUGUAGGAUUGUUUAGCUGGCAUUCCUGUAACCUCGGCUUCAUCCUCUGAAGAGGAGGAGAGUCCUCCUCCUAGCCAUGCUGAUGACUCUUCUAGUUCUUUUAUGGAGACAGAUCCUCAUUUUCCUACAUUGCAAUACGAAGUAAUGAACCCUAAUGGGUCAUACAACUUCAUGAAUCUAGACCGGCCAAAGUACACCCCAAAUGUCCCCUAGAAUGACUUGGUCGGUGUUGAUCUUAUGAAAAAAAGCAAGUGGAUGAUUGGAGGUUUGCAGCUUGUGGCACGCACCCAAUCUUAUCAAUAUGUGCUCAAUGAAAUGAACUGGAACAGUCGAAUGGCAGUGGCUGAUGCCAACAUGAGAUCCUUGGAGGAGAGAAUCAGAAAUCUUGAACUUCAGAACUGGCAACAAGAAUCUCAGUUUUAUGCAAGUCAGGAAGGAGACACUGAAGGUGGCUCCUCUAGGGGUGGGUCUAGGAGAUCUUCUUGCAGGUGGACCCGAAAUCCGAAUGAUGCUUGACUUGUAUUUUAAUUUUCCUGAAAAGACAACAAAAACUUUUCCUUAGACAAUCUCUUUAUCUUUGGAUUGCUUUAAGCCUUGCUAAAACUUAGAUGAGACAAGUUUUUAGAAUUCACUUGAUGAAGUUUUGCAAUAAGCAAUUUGAACUUAUCUCACCACUUCUGAUGUGAUUUGUACUUACCUUAAUGAGGCACAGCCGAAUGCCCCUAGCCUAAAAACUUGUGCAU